CGUAGGUGGCGAGCGUUAUCCGGAAUUAUUGGGCGUAAAGGGUGCGUAGGCGGCCUGUUAAGUAAGUGGUUAAAUUGUUGGGCUCAACCCAAUCCAGCCACUUAAACUGGCAGGCUAGAGUAUUGGAGAGGCAAGUGGAAUUCCAUGUGUAGCGGUAAAAUGCGUAGAUAUAUGGAGGAACACCAGUGGCGAAGGCGGCUUGCUAGCCAAAGACUGACGCUCAUGCACGAAAGCGUGGGGAGCAAAUAGGAUU
rnacentral:rRNA from 1 species